rnacentral:rRNA from 1 species
GAUGAACGCUGGCGGCGUGCCUAAUACAUGCAAGUCGAGCGAAUGGAUUAAGAGCUUGCUCUUAUGAAGUUAGCGGCGGACGGGUGAGUAACACGUGGGUAACCUGCCCAUAAGACUGGGAUAACUCCGGGAAACCGGGGCUAAUACCGGAUAACAUUUUGAACCGCAUGGUUCGAAAUUGAAAGGCGGCUUCGGCUGUCACUUAUGGAUGGACCCGCGUCGCAUUAGCUAGUUGGUGAGGUAACGGCGCACCAAGGCAACGAUGCGUAGCCGGCCGGAGAGGGUGAUGGGCCACACUGGGACUGGAACACGGCCAAGACUCCUACGGGAGGCAGCAGUAGGGAAUCUUCCGCAAUGGACGAAAGUCUGACGGAGCAACGCCGCGUGAGUGAUGAAGGCUUUCGGGUCGUAAAACUCUGUUGUUAGGGAAGAACAAGUGCUAGUUGAAUAAGCUGGCACCUUGACGGUACCUAACCAGAAAGCCACGGCUAACUACGUGCCAGCCGCCGCCGUAA